CCUANGGGAGGCAGCAGUGGGGAAUUUUGGACAAUGGGCGCAAGCCUGAUCCAGCCAUACCGCGUGAGUGAAGAAGGCCUUCGGGUUGUAAAGCUCUUUCAGCCGGAAAGAAAUUGCUUCUAUUAAUACUAGGAGUAGAUGACGGUACCGGAAGAAGAAGCACCGGCUAACUACGUGCCAGCAGCCGCGGUAAUACGUAGGGUGCGAGCGUUAAUCGGAAUUACUGGGCGUAAAGCGUGCGCAGGCGGUUUUGUAAGACAGACGUGAAAUCCCCGGGCUUAACCUGGGAACUGCGUUUGUGACUGCAAGACUAGAGUGUAGCAGAGGGGGGUAGAAGUCCACGUGUAGCAGUGAAAUGCGUAGAUAUGUGGAGGAAUACCAAUGGCGAAGGCAGCCCCCUGGGUUAACACUGACGCUCAUGCACGAAAGCGUGGGGAGCAAACAGGAUUAGAUACCCCGNUANUC
rnacentral:rRNA from 1 species